rnacentral:rRNA from 1 species
UGAACGCUGGCGGCGUUGCUUAACACAUGCAAGUCGAACGAAGCACUUUAGACAGAAGCCUUCGGGCGGAAGACUUUGGUGACUUAGUGGCGGACGGGUGAGUAACGCGUGGGUAACCUGCCCUGUACCGGGGGACAACAGUUGGAAACGACUGCUAAUACCGCAUAAGCGCACAGCAUCGCAUGAUGCAGUGUGAAAAACUCCGGUGGUACAGGAUGGACCCGCGUCUGAUUAGCUAGUUGGUGAGGUAACGGCUUACCAAGGCAACGAUCAGUAGCCGACUUGAGAGAGUGAUCGGCCACAUUGGGACUGAGACACGGCCCAGACUCCUACGGGAGGCAGCAGUGGGGAAUAUUGCACAAUGGGCGCAAGCCUGAUGCAGCAACGCCGCGUGGAGGAAGACGGUUUUCGGAUUGUAAACUCCUGUUCUUAGUGAAGAAUAAUGACGGUAGCUAAGGAGCAAGCCACGGCUAACUACGUG